AGGGAAUUUUCGGCAAUGGGGGAAACCCUGACCGAGCAACGCCGCGUGAAGGAAGAAGUAAUUCGUUAUGUAAACUUCUGUCAUAGAGGAAGAACGGUGGAUAUAGGGAAUGAUAUCCAAGUGACGGUACUCUAUAAGAAAGCCACGGCUAACUACGUGCCAGCAGCCGCGGUAAUACGUAGGUGGCGAGCGUUAUCCGGAAUUAUUGGGCGUAAAGAGGGAGCAGGCGGCACUAAGGGUCUGUGGUGAAAGAUCGAAGCUUAACUUCGGUAAGCCAUGGAAACCGUAGAGCUAGAGUGUGUGAGAGGAUCGUGGAAUUCCAUGUGUAGCGGUGAAAUGCGUAGAUAUAUGGAGGAACACCAGUGGCGAAGGCGACGAUCUGGCGCAUAACUGACGCUCAGUCCCGAAAGCGUGGGGAGCAAAUAGGAUUAGAUACCCUAGUAGUCCACGCCGUAAACGAUGAGUACUAAGUGUUGGGGGUCAAAGCUCAGUGCUGCAGUUAACGCAAUAAGUACUCCGCCUGAGUAGUACGUUCGCAAGAAUGAAACUCAAAGGAAUUGACGGGGGCCCGCACAAGCGGUGGAGCAUGUGGUUUAAUUCGAAGCAACGCGAAGAACCUUACCAGGUCUUGACAUCGAUCUAAAGGCUCCAGAGAUGGAGAGAUAGCUAUAGAGAAGACAGGUGGUGCAUGGUUGUCGUCAGCUCGUGUCGUGAGAUGUUGGGUUAAGUCCCGCAACGAGCGCAACCCCUGUUGCCAGUUGCCAGCAUUAAGUUGGGGACUCUGGCGAGACUGCCGGUGACAAGCCGGAGGAAGGCGGGGAUGACGUCAAAUCAUCAUGCCCCUUAUGACCUGGGCUACACACGUGCUACAAUGGACAGAGCAGAGGGAAGCGAAGCCGCGAGGUGGAGCGAAACCCAUAAAACUGUUCUCAGUUCGGACUGCAGUCUGCAACUCGACUGCACGAAGAUGGAAUCGCUAGUAAUCGCGAAUCAGCAUGUCGCGGUGAAUACGUUCUCG
rnacentral:rRNA from 1 species